rnacentral:rRNA from 1 species
AAACUAGGAUUAGAUACCCUAUUAUUAAAAAUUUAAAUUUAAUAAUACUAAAAUAGUAUAUUAUUAUUUAUUGAAACUUAAAUAUUUUGGCGGUAUUUUAGUUUAUUUAGAGGAAUCUGUUUAUUAAUUGAUAAUCCACGAAUAAAUUUACUUAAUUUAAUAUUUUGUAUAUCGUUGUUAAAAAAAUAUUUUUUAAUGAUAAUAAUAUUUUAAAAUUAUAAAUAAAAAUUAAAUCAAAUCAAGAUGCAGAUUAUAAUUAAGAAUAUAAUGGAUUACAAUAAAUUUAUUUAAAUGAAUUUUAAUUUGUAAUAAUUAAAUGAAGGUGGAUUUAAAUGUAAUUUUAUUUAUUUUAAUAAUUUGAUU